ensembl:lncRNA
GCAGGAGGAGGGGACGACAGAGGAUGAGAUGGUUGGAUGGCCCCAGCGACUCGAUGGACAUGAGUUUGAGUAAACUGUGAGAGUUGGUGAUGGACAGGGAGGCCUGGCGUGCUGCAGUCUGUGGGGUCACAAAGAGUCAGACACAAGCACAUUCUUUACCAGCUGAGCCAUCAGGGAAACCCGAGAGACGGAACCACUUAAGAAGUCAGGGGCCGUCUUGGUGAGAGUGAUGCGAACUGCCUUGACAAAGACGCCGCAGAAUUUUGUCAACUUAUCGCAGCCGCAGCUGACUCCUCGUUUCAAUUACUCAUCCGUUCCAGGUGUUCCUGCUUGGGGAGAUUUCUUCCAAGUGGUGAGUGACAGGCCCAGCAUCCUUGCCGGCCUGGUCCUCUGCCUUCUUCAACACCUGCCUCCCGAGGUCCUCGUGUGUGCACUGGUCUCUUCUUUGCUCUUGCUGUUUCUGUGUCUGUUGCUUGAAUGCCAUCCAGCUGAAAAACCUAAAAUGCAUGCACACUUGCUAGCCAUGGGAGAUUUCCAUGGUGUUCAUCCUUCCCCUGGCCGGAACGUCUCCACACGAGACACGUCAAAUGCUAAGAGCAGCUGGGACGUGUCCUCAAGCUGAGACGAGCAUCUGAGUCUGCUAUCGCUGAGUAUGGUAUCAGUGACCAGCUGCUGUGAAAAUGAAAGUGUCAGUUGCUCAUUGGUGUCUGACUCUUUGCGAUCUCAUGGACUGUAGCCCAUCAGGCUCCUCUGUCCAGGGGGAUUCUCCAGGCAAGAAUAUACAGGAGUUUGUAGCUACUGCCUUCUCCAGGGGGAUCUUCCCAACCCAGGGAUCAAACGCAGGUCAUCUGCAUUGCAGGUGCAUUCUUUACCCUCCGAGCCACCAGGGAGGCCCUCUGCCCAUGGGUAAAAACCCUCUGUUAAUGGCUGUGCGAACACUGAGAGCACACUUCCCUUGCCGCCAGGAUUAUACAUUGGUACAGUCGCUUUGGAAGUCUGUUGGGCGCCCUCUUGAAAAGCCAAAGGUGACCCAGAAGUCGCACUCGUGGGUAGAAACUCUGGAGAAUCCCUUGCCUGUUUGUGCAUGUGUUAGCCCGUUCUCAGGAGUCGUGUCUCUGAUAUUGAAACCUGCAAUCAACCUGCGUGUUUGUGGGCAGGAGAGCGGGAUAUACAGAGUGUGAAAUGAUCGCACAAUGGGAUGUUGUACAAAAGUGAAGCGAGUUGGCUCAGCAUACACGCCGCGCCCUCGUGGAUUUUAUUUUAUUUUGCUUUUAUAAUUCCUGUUUCUUUGUUUUUGGUUGCAGUGGGUCUUUGCUGCUGUUUGGGGGACUUUGGUUGUGGCGAGCGGGAGCGGCUCUCGGUUGCCGUGUGUGGGUUUUGCAUUGCGGCGGUUGCUCUGCUGGUGGGGCACCGGCUCUGGGUGCCUGGGCUCAGUCGCUGUGACGCAUAAGCUAGGUUGCUGCAUGGCAUGUAGGAUUUUCCCAAACCGGGGGUCAAACCCUGCGGUGGGAGCCCUAGAGGUCCCUCCCUGGCAUCUGGUGUCACAUCCCCCUUUGCCCCAGUCCCCAGGUCAACGGCAGUGUGUCCCUCAUCGCCACUGUGGGAGCAGGCCGUCGACUGAGUGGACCAGGCUCACGCGCCCUGGGGAGGGCAGUCUGCUUUGCUCAGUGUCCUGGUUCACAUGUUCAGCUCAUCCCACAGGGCCUAACUGUAGAGCACAGAAAACUACAUUCAAUAGCCUGUAAUAACCUGUGAGUGGAAAAGAAUCUGAAAAAGCGUGUAUGUGUAACUGAAGCACUCUGCUCACGCUAGAAGCUAACCCAACGAUGUGAAUCUACCAU